UUUCAUUUGAUGACAACAAAAUACACUUGACCCAAAAAUUAAUAUAUGUACUUUUUGAUUAAAAUUUUUUUUUUUAAAAAUCCAUGCCAACUCAAAAAGACCUCUCAUUUAGGAGUGCAUCAUCCACUCUAUUACAAAAAGAGCAUAAAUCAACUACCACAAAAUGACUAAUUUUGUGCGGUGGAGGAGGAUGUGAUCAACUGUUUCUUCUCUUCAACAUAAAGGGCAUCUACUCAACAUCCUUCAUCUCGUCCUUUUAAAUUGAUCCAAUAUCAAUAUCCUGCCACAUGCAACUUCCCAUGCAAAAAGGUUAACCCUUAAUUGUGCCCAAGAAUCCCAAACAAUACUAUAAGUGAAGGCUCCCAUUCUCCUACAUGAUAAAGAGAAAUAAAGAGACUUAAUUGAGAAAAUGUCGCCCUUCGUGUUCAAUCAAACAAUAUUAUCCUUCAUAUCCUUAAUAAUAACCUACACUUGCAACCUCUAAAAAAGGCCUCCACCUCUAACUCCGAAUCAUAAAUUUAUCUUGUAAGCCUUGCUACACCUCAGCUACCCAUGCAACUUUGGCAGUGGCAAUUGCAAUAACUCCCAAAAAAACCUCCCUCAAGGGUAUGCCACCGCACAACCUAUCCGUCCAAAUUUCACCCUUCUACCAUUGUCUACUCCAAAAUUGGUUCUACAAUUAAAGGUCUCCAACCCGCACCUGAUUGCCUUCCACACACCCACCCUGUACCCUUCCCUCAAUCCUCUAAGGCACAAACACCCCUCUUCCUUCUCAUAUUUCCCUGAAAUUACCAAUUUCCAAAGGGUUCCCUCUCAAUUACAAAUCAUUUUUUUUAUAAUCGAGGAACCUUUUAUAGUCGAGCCCUUCAAACUCUUCAUGGAGACCCAAACCUCAGGGUGUUGACCAAGCCCACCACAAUCAACACCAAGUAAUCCAGGACAUUAAACCAACAACAUGAAUCAAACCCAAGACUAUGCACCUCUACCACACAUCCUAGCAUUAACCUUAAUCAACUAGGCACACUGAUGGGCCCCUCUCAAUUACAAAUCUCAAACACCAUUUUCCUAAAAGAGCCUUACUAAGAGUGGACAGAUUUUUAAUUCCUAGACCCCCACUCUUAUCCAUACAAACUAUAGAGCAAUUCAUGAAAAUGUGGCUUUGCCUUACACAACAUCUAGCAAUUUGCAAAGACUUUAAAAUCCUUUAUUACAUAAACAAAGACUAAACUUGAAGAGUAGUUUGAAGGUCACUAAGUGUUUGCAUCUAGAGACAAGUUUUAGGAGUCCCAAUGAAGAUCUGUUCUACGCAUAAUCAAUUCAAUUGUAUGAGACAACAAAAAAAUAAAGGGCAAAAAUACUGUUUACGGUUUAGAUUGGUCAUGGACAAUCACUGAAAGUCAAAGUCAAGUUUCCUCCAACUUAAGGGGAAUUGAUGACAAAGAAUCUUCAAGGUACAUUUUUUUUUUUUUUUUUUUGAUAAGUAAACAAGAUAUGCAUUAGAAAAGGCUAAACGCCACAAAGCAUACAGGGAGUAUACAAGACGGCUAAAGCCUCAAAAAGAGAAAAAGGACCAAAAAGAACUACCUCCCCUUAAGUGGAAGCUAUCCACUCCAAAAAACCUAUAAGGGAGAAAAACUCCUCACCUAAAUACACUUUGGCCCAAUUCCACAAGUUACAGACAAAAGAAUUCUUUAAUUUCUGAAUAUUCAACGCACCCCCCCUAAAGGCUAACCUAUUCCUCUCCUUCCAAACCGUCCAAAAAAUACAUAACGGAAUGGAUUUCCAAAUCUUUUUCCUUUUCUUCCCAAAAAAUGAGCCCCUCCAGGAGAUUAAAGUCUCCUUUACAGUUUCUGGGAGGACCCACUUAACAUCUAUCAACCCAAAAAUAAUAUCCCAAAGGGCUCUAGUCACUAUACAGUGUAAAAGAAUAUGAUUUACAUUCUCUUCUUCAUAACCACACAAAAAGCAACAAUUUGGGAGUUGCACCCCUCUUAUCUGGAGUCUAUCCAGAGUGAACACCUUCCCCCACGUAGCCUCCCAAGCAAAAAAGCAGACUUUAGUUGGCACCCUAUCCACCCAUAUUCUCCUUGCGGGAAAUACUGUGGCAUUAGGCUUGUCUAGCAGCCUGUAAGCUUCUUUGACUCUGAAAAGACCAUUUCUUCCCUGCCUCCACAUAACUGAAUCAUCCUCCAAGGAGGGCCUAUGACCCCUCAAAGUAUGAAGCAACUCCCCAACCAUAUCCAACUCCCAAUCAUUGAAGUCCCUCACAAAAACGAGAUUCCACUCUCCUUGGCCCGAAUCCUGGUCCCACAUCUCCUCAAUCGUAGCAUCCCUAUGCAUGGCAAGGACAAAGAGGUGAUUGAAGCAUUGGGACAACGGAGUGUCAGUGCACCAACUAUAUUUCCAAAAUUUGAUUUUUGAACCCUUCCCAACUAUAAAGGCCAAAUUUUCCCAGCACCAAUCAGAUUCUUUCAUAAUCUCCUUCCAGACCCCUACUCCAGCCGCCCCACUAGCCUUCUUUGACCUCCAACCAUAAUCCUCUUGCCCAUAUUUCGUAGUGAUCACUUGUUUCCAAAGGUUAUCCUUUUCACAAGCAAACCUCCAAAUCCACUUGCCCAGCAAGGCUCUAUUCAGAGUGGCUAUUCUCCUUAAUCCUAGCCCUCCCUUGUGUUUUUCUGUACAGACCGCGUCCCAUUUAACUAAAUGAACUUUUCCCUCCAAGUUUCCUCAAGGUACAUUCAACAAGAAGAAACAAAAGAUUUGGCUCAUUUAGAAUUUGGGAAGGUUUUUUUAUUAUAGUACUCUUUAAAAAGUUUCUUUAUCUGUAAAUUUUUUAUUUUCUAAAGCAUCUUUUUCUAAAAUUUCCAUUUGAGCCUUUCAUAAAAUCUAGGAAAUAUCCUCUAUUAGAAACUUUUAUCACAAAAAGUCUAUAUAGAAUUUUAAGUUUCUAAUUCUAAAAGGAAAGUUUUUAUUUCCUUCUAAUUCCUUUAUUUGAAAGAUUUAGAAGUUUUAGGAAGAAGUAAGAGUCCUUAAUAAGCUACUUCUCUUUUCUCUUUCUUUUAUUUGGUUUUUAGAGUUUCAUGAAGACUACAAAUAAGAUUAAUUGUUAUUAAACAAGAUUGAAAAUGAACCCUUAAUCCUGAAAAUGGUGAAGCACCUCACUUUAUUAUAGGCAACCACCCUAGAGUUGUCCCACAUUACUUCUCUAACUAAUCCAUCCAACUCCAAAUCCACCAGUAACAUUCUCCUCAAUCUACACCUCCCACGUGAUCAAUCAAUGAUAAUAAAAUUCUAACUAGUGUCAAUACCCAUCAAAAUAAAAUAAAAUAAAAUUGCUCCUUCAAUGUCACACCCAGUUUCUCAUUAAGUUAAAAUCCAUUCAUUCUAUCUUGAAUUUGCUUAUCCUUCAGCCUAAAAAGCAUUUCUCCAUAGUGUUAACUCGGUUUUUCCCUACAACCAAAUCUCAUCACCCAAACCAUUACGGGAGAACAACGUAACGGAUAACACCAGGGAUCUCUUCCAAAAACUCCCAAGAAGUUCAACCAAAACUUGCAAGGAG
rnacentral:lncRNA from 1 species